rnacentral:tRNA from 1 species
GGUGGGGUUCCCGAGCGGCCAAAGGGAGCAGACUGUAAAUCUGCCGUCAUCGACUUCAAAGGUUCGAAUCCUUCCCCCACCACCA